UAUGACAUUUUGAGUUUUGUAUGAAUCAAAACCUUAUUAAAAUCAGUUUACUGUCUGUCCAUCUUUUUUUUUUGUUGUAAGGAGGUGGAAAUCUUCAAAAGACUCUGGCCUGGACACGACCGAGUGUGGGAUUUUUAACCAUGAAAACCACUGCCGACUCUCCCUCCUGUCUCGUGGAUCCACCAUAAGGAUCUAAGAAUUUUCGUCCCAGAUAUUUUGCGACAUAAAACUAACGACAAAACUCCAGCAGCGUUGGACCAAAAUUAACUGAAUUCUAUCCCCCAUGAUAUGCGGUGCAAUUAACAGUCGGCGCAAGGCAUUUUAUCAGAACCAACAAAUAUGAUCACCAUUUACCUUACGUCUCCACUAUUAACCCAGGACAUAACCGACGAUAAAUUGAUACCUUUAAGUGAUAAAUUCCUAUGCAUUAGUGCCUUAGGAUCUGGAAGCACAGUUAGGAGAUUCGCCAUGGACAGCGAGCAUCACUAUUCACCUGAUAUCGAGAUGCAGUGAAAAAACCUUUAUGCAAAAGAUAGCAGCAGUGUUGCGUGAAUUCUUAGCCAGGAACGGCUGCAGGUGGUCAAACUGGAUUUACAUAAUUGUUGUACUUAGAAAACUGUUGCAGCUCCUUCUGCGAGUAAUCUAUGAUCAUUAAUACCAGUUGAGAAACG